rnacentral:rRNA from 1 species
UGGGGAAUUUUGGACAAUGGGGGAAACCCUGAUCCAGCUAUCCCGCGUGUGCGAUGAAGGCCUUCGGGUUGUAAAGCACUUUUGGCAGGAAAGAAACGUCAUGGGUUAAUACCCCGUGAAACUGACGGUACCUGCAGAAUAAGCACCGGCUAACUACGUGCCAGCAGCCGCGGUAAUACGUAGGGUGCAAGCGUUAAUCGGAAUUACUGGGCGUAAAGCGUGCGCAGGCGGUUCGGAAAGAAAGAUGUGAAAUCCCAGAGCUCAACUUUGGAACUGCAUUUUUAACUACCGGGCUAGAGUGUGUCAGAGGGAGGUGGAAUUCCGCGUGUAGCAGUGAAAUGCGUAGAUAUGCGGAGGAACACCGAUGGCGAAGGCAGCCUCCUGGGAUAACACUGACGCUCAUGCACGAAAGCGUGGGGAGCAAACAGG